AGCCCGCACUGAAUGGAGAUGUGCAGGUGCAGAGGACACAAGUAAUUGGGGCGCAGCAGCCGGGACCUCCGCUCACCCCAGCCCCACGCGUGCCCCGCACAUCCCGGCACGGCGCGGACCCUCGGGAGCCCCGGACACGCUCUCACGGCCCCCUCCUCCCAGACUUGGUGUGGCCGGCGCCUGCCUGCGAGCGAUGCCAUCUUGGGAUCCCAGCAUCUUACAAGUAGCUGCCGAGCUCUGCAUUCCGACCACGUCCCCGGGGCUGGGAAAACUCAACCCAACUUUGCCAGAGGGGAGAGAACCGGCUGGGGCGGACCCUCACGCUCUCUAACGGGAACGGACUGCAUCGGAUGCUACUGACCGCAUUUGUCAAAUGGCUACCAUGUGCCGGAUGCUGGUGGACAAUGAUGAACAAGACCGUGUCUUUGCUGCUAACAAGCUCAUAGUCUUGAGGAGAGAGAGAGCCCCAUCUGGGAAGACGUCUCUUACCACAUGGAAAAAGAAAAAGCCACCCUGAAUGUUGGCAGUUGAUCUCUAUAAUGGCCAAGUCAUACUCGUUUGUUUGACACUUGAUGUUUUGACAAUCUCUCCACAUGCAUUUUCUCUUUGGAUCUCUGCAACAACCCAGGGAGGAAGCUUGGGAAAGGCGAAGUUGAUGGGACAGAGGGAUUGCGUGACAGGCCUAGAAUCACAGGAGCUGGUGAGCGGCAGAAAGCAGGUUGGAAGGGCACUUGGCUGACUCCAGACUCAAUGUGCUUAGCUUGUGCACUGAACCUCUUCACCCGCAUCUCAUCUGGUCAAGGCCGACUUAUCCUUCUGUCUUUGCUCAACUGCCAUUUCUUUAGGAAAUAUCCCUGCUCUUCUGAAUGGAUCAAAUCCUGCUAUUGUCUGUUUUCACUACCCCCUUCCUCUCUGGCACCAUCACUGGGAUUUUAUACUCAAUUGAUCACAAUCAGUAACCAGUUGUUGACUGUUGACUCCAGGAAGUCAGGGCCCAUCAAAUUUUUAGCUCAUUAUUAUAUUUCUCUUUGCCUAAUGAAGUGCUUGUCAGUUAGUAAAUGCUCAAUAAUUAUUUAGCUACUAAUGAAUAUAUAGAUCUGUAUAUCUUUGACAAGAGUGUGAUUAUUCUGUACCUCUGCUGCUUCCUGCACAGCCCCAACUUGGGAUUGAGCCCACAAUCUGGGCAUGUGCCCUAAGCUGGAAUUGGACCAUGACCCCUUGGUUCAUAGGUUGACACUCAACCAUUGAGCCAUGCUAGUGGGCGGGAAUAAAAGCUUUAUACUACUCUGACCAACCCAUGAAAUGGAAUUAGAAGAAAAUAUACGAAUGAACUGGUGAAGGAACGGAUACUGACAGUUUCCUUAUAAGCAUGUUACAGGCAGCAGCAGUUCCAGUUCCCCUUUUGCUGGCCUCGACCACAGGAGAACAGCAGGUGCCAAUGGCUGGCCAGGCCUGCAACAUCCUGUACCCAGAGAUCAUCAUUGAAACUGGCAGAGAGAAAAACAAACAAACAAACAAAAAACAAACACCAGAUGCUGACACACAUGGAAGAGAAUAUCAAAACCACCUAAUAGCUGGAAUUCGAAACUGCAUUCCACCAGAAUUCCUUAGUUCCCCUCUCCCCACAAACCCCCUAUUAAAGCCUUUUGCCUGCCCUGAGAUGCGAAGGCAUGAGCCUGCCAGCUUUUCAGGUGGUUACCUGAAGAAAUCACUUUCCUUCCAUCAGCACCUGUGUCCUGUGUUUGGCUUCACAGAGGCAGGCAAA